ACCUGGUUUUGCCCAACACUGCACCCUGACUGGUAUAGACCACACCACCUACAUUGACAUUACUCACAUUGCCAUCUGCAAAACAGAUCAGCUGAUGCAGACUGAGCAGAGGACCAUGUGGGGAUUUAGCAUAGUUAAACUCGAGAAUUUGCUUCCCUAAGAGGUAGUGAUGGAAACCAACGGAUGGCUUUCAAAGAGGAUUAGACAAAUUCAUAGAGGAUAAGGUUCCUGCAAAAUCUGUACAAUUUCAACUAGAAGAGAGAAACUGGAAGCCCAGUAAUGUAACUGGGUCCCCUUCCUACAGGCUCUGGGGUCUUGUUUUCACUGCCGAUGGUGCCUGCUAGCAACCUGCCUUUGGUGCCAAAUCCAGAAUACAUCCAAGACUCAAUGCAAGA